GGCGGCAUGCUUACACAUGCAAGUCGCACGGGCAGCUUCGGCUGUCAGUGGCGGACGGGUGAGUAACGCGUAGGUAUCUAUCCUCGGGUGGGGGACAACCACGGGAAACUGUGGCUAAUACCGCAUGAUGACCCCAAUCGGGAGGUUGGGGUCCAAAGGCGCAAGUCGCCUGGGGAGGAGCCUGCGUCCGAUUAGCUUGUUGGUGGGGUAAAAGCCUACCAAGGCUCCGAUCGGUAGCUGGUCUGAGAGGAUGAUCAGCCACACUGGGACUGAGACACGGCCCAGACUCCUACGGGAGGCAGCAGUGGGGAAUAUUGGACAAUGGGCGAAAGCCUGAUCCAGCAAUGCCGCGUGGGUGAAGAAGGUCUUCGGAUUGUAAAGCCCUUUCGGCGGGGACGAUGAUGACGGUACCCGCAGAAGAAGCCCCGGCUAACUUCGUGCCAGCAGCCGCGGUAAUACGAAGGGGGCUAGCGUUGCUCGGAUUGACUGGGCGUAAAGGGCGCGUANGCGGCUUGUACAGUCAGGCGUGAAAUU
rnacentral:rRNA from 1 species